rnacentral:tRNA from 1 species
AGUAUAUUGGCCGAGUUAGGUUUUAAUUUCUUAAAUUAAGUACGAAUGUAAUAAAGUU